AACGAACUCGGCGGCUCGAUCCCAUCGUUCAUCUUCGCGCAUCAAACUCUCCAACAGCUAACUCUCUCCUUCAACGGCUUCACUUCUAUAGACUCGCCUCGCUACUCGCCCUCGGGUCUCCCCAGCGAGCUAAUCUCCGUGGACCUCAGCAACAACAAGAUCAGAGGCCCGUUACCUCUGUUCAUGGGCCUGUUACCGAAGCUCUCAGCUUUGUCGUUGGAGAACAACAGCUUCUUCGGUAUGGUUCCGACGCAGUACGUUUGGAAAACCGUGUCGCCUGCCGGGUUUCAGAGGCUGUUACUAGGCGGGAACUUCUUGUUUGGAGUCGUACCGGGUCCUUUGAUGGCGCUCAAGCCUGGCUCGGUGAAUGUGCAGCUCGCUGGAAACUGCUUCUUGUGGUGUCCCGCGACGUUUUUCUUCUGUCGGGGACAAGAACAGAGAUCUGUUACGGAGUGCAGAAAGUUUAGCCGUGUUAUUCCUUGAUUGUUUCUUUUUUUCAUUGCUUGGAUCUUCGGGUCGGGUCGGAUCUUUGUGAUCAUGUGAAGCUUUUAGGGGUCUUAUGGCAGUUGCUUAACCCGAAGCUUAAAAUGUGAUUAAAUUAAUAAAGUGCCGUUAAGAGAGUCAACUAGGCGAUGUUACGAUACUAAUUUAUGUAAUCAAUAACAUGGAUGAUUAGACCAACUCCAUUUGGUUAGAAUCCUUAAUGGGUUCUUAAAAUUAAUUUAAUAGUUAAUUGUGUACUUUAUGAGAUUUAAAACCUCUAUUAAUGUAAUUAGUUGUGUGAAGGUUCAAUGGAAGAACCCUUAUGAGGUUCUUAAAUAUUUUUUUUUAGAAAUUAAAUUAUUAAACUUAAAUAUUACAAAACUUAUAAAUUAUUUGAUUUCAUAACAUUUAAACAAACAUGACAUAAAAACAUAUGAAAAAUAGAAAUACAAAUUUAUAAUUAGAAAGCCAUCCAAUGAGCUUGUAGUUGGAUUCCUAGGCUGGCUUUGGGUAUUAUCAUCAUCCUCUUCUUCAUUACUAUCAAGACUCUCUUCAUCUUCGGGCUGAGAAUCGUUGUCUCCUUUAGCACAGACUUGAACUUUCAUGUGGGGGGGCAAACUUGGAGAAACACCGCUGUGGUGCGCAUAUUUUGAUGAGAAAUAGUUGACUGUCAGGUUCAAGCUGGUCACCAAGACACAUAGAGAGAUAUAUAAGUUAUGUCGGUAAUUAUAACGGAUACAACAGCGUAAACAACAACAAGAAGCUUUAUCUUUCUUUACCUAUUCCAAGCUGGAAGAGUUAGCGUUGUGUAUGCAAGCUUGAUCUUGCGUGCAAGUCCAGAGAAAGACUUGAAAGCAGCAGCAGCUUCUCGUACUGCACGCUUUCGGAUGCUGCCACGCCCACUCAAACUGCAACACGAGACAAGAAAGCAAGGAGCUUUAGCCAGGAAUUGGUGAUUAUUAUUUUAAAGUUUGAAGCUUGGGGGUAUCGAAGAUCAGAAACUUUAGACGACAAAAGAGUACCUUUGUUCCCUUAACAGCAAGAUGGUCUCCAACACACAUCUCCCUGUAAUCAUGAGACAUCCUUCCUUGCGGAUACAUCUAGCUUCACAAUGUUAAACAUGGUUCCGUUUUUCUUUAUUUUGCAGAGAGUUGAGAGACAACACAUUUUGAUUUUAGUUUUUAAAAUGAGGAAACCAGAACAUCAUCUGAAAUAUUAAUACCUCUAACUACGUUCUUGUAAAGGUAGACCAGCUACAACACCAUGUUAAAAAUUCAGGAACAAUGAUAAGAUUUAGACAAAAAUUCAAGACCAAGUUUGAUCCUUUUUUAACAUGUAGCUUCAAAGAGUAAACGCUAAAAACAAAGGCCUCUCCUUCAACGGCUUCACUUCUAUAGACUCGCCUCGCUACUCGCCCUCGGGUCUCCCCAGCGAGCUAAUCUCCGUGGACCUCAGCAACAACAAGAUCAGAGGCCCGUUACCUCUGUUCAUGGGCCUGUUACCGAAGCUCUCAGCUUUGUCGUUGGAGAACAACAGCUUCUUCGGUAUGGUUCCGACGCAGUACGUUUGGAAAACCGUGUCGCCUGCCGGGUUUCAGAGGCUGUUACUAGGCGGGAACUUCUUGUUUGGAGUCGUACCGGGUCCUUUGAUGGCGCUCAAGCCUGGCUCGGUGAAUGUGCAGCUCGCUGGAAACUGCUUCUUGUGGUGUCCCGCGACGUUUUUCUUCUGUCGGGGACAAGAACAGAGAUCUGUUACGGAGUGCAGAAAGUUUAGCCGUGUUAUUCCUUGAUUGUUUCUUUUUUUCAUUGCUUGGAUCUUCGGGUCGGGUCGGAUCUUUGUGAUCAUGUGAAGCUUUUAGGGGUCUUAUGGCAGUUGCUUAACCCGAAGCUUAAAAUGUGAUUAAAUUAAUAAAGUGCCGUUAAGAGAGUCAACUAGGCGAUGUUACGAUACUAAUUUAUGUAAUCAAUAACAUGGAUGAUUAGACCAACUCCAUUUGGUUAGAAUCCUUAAUGGGUUCUUAAAAUUAAUUUAAUAGUUAAUUGUGUACUUUAUGAGAUUUAAAACCUC
rnacentral:lncRNA from 1 species